CCGAGCCGCAGGGGAGGGCGGAGGCCGAGCUCGCCCCGGCUCCAGCCAGGGGUCUCCGGGAGGAUUCUUUUGGAGAGUGUUCGGAGCCGGCAGAUCCCGGACUCGAGCCCCGGCCCAGAAAUGAGUUCUGCACCUUUAAGGCUGGUUCUGAGAGUGAAGGGGAGGAGAAAGAAGCAGCAGUUUGUUUUCAUACACUGCAUUCCUCUACAUUCCAGCUGCUGGAUGGAGAGACAGCAGGUGUUUAAAUCUGCUCUGCACUGAACAGCCAGAACACCGGCACCUCGCACCUGUGGCCCACCUGGCUGAGCCUGGGCCACAGCAUUUCCAGUGCUGGAGGGACUGAAAAGAGACUGAUAAGAGACUGAUAAGACACUGAGUGCACGGAGCUACAACCCAAGGAGGGA